AACGAACGCUGGCGGCAGGCCUAACACAUGCAAGUCGAACGCUCGUAGCAAUACGGGAGUGGCAGACGGGUGCGUAACACGUGGGAACAUACCCUUUGGUUCGGAAUAACUCAGGGAAACUUGAGCUAAUACCGGAUAAGCCCGAGAGGGGAAAGAUUUAUCGCCGAAGGAUUGGCCCGCGUCUGAUUAGCUAGUUGGUGAGGUAAUGGCUCACCAAGGCGACGAUCAGUAGCUGGUCUGAGAGGAUGAUCAGCCACACUGGGACUGAGACACGGCCCAGACUCCUACGGGAGGCAGCAGUGGGGAAUAUUGGACAAUGGGCGCAAGCCUGAUCCAGCCAUGCCGCGUGAGUGAUGAAGGCCUUAGGGUUGUAAAGCUCUUUUACCCGGGAAGAUAAUGACGGUACCGGGAGAAUAAGCCCCGGCUAACUUCGUG
rnacentral:rRNA from 1 species